AACCUACAGUUGUUGGUUGACUUCUAUAGUAGGCCUAUGGAGGAAAACUGAAGUAAAAUAUGAGUUGCUACGACCGAAUCAUUGAAUCAGUGAGUUGUUAAUCACUGUCAACUUGUCCUUGUCCUUGAAAAAAUUGUCUCAAAACAAUGAUUAAUUUAUGGAUCAUGCCUCGGUUUUUUGCAAUGGAAUGUGGUAAAAUAUAUUCUGACAAAGUACAAAUACGCGAAAAAUGCAUUAACAGAGUUAAAAACGUACUUUAAUGAUUGUUUGAGAUAGGAGCUGUUCACCUGAGAUGACGCCUCAGCAGGUCUGAUAUGAAGCUCGCUUUCCCUGAGGCUGACUUUCCAACUGUAGUUGACACAUUGUCAUAUCAUGUGAACUGACAGCUGCUUGUUUUACCCUCCUAACAUUAACCAGAACCUUCAGGCCAUUUAAAUGAUCCGCAACAGCCACUUAUUGCAGAGAACAGGUUUUUUCAGCUGUGAUUUAUACUAAUUGGUCUUGUGCUUUGCCAUUACAGAUGUGUUUGUGUGUUGGUUGACCCCAGAGGCCUGAUUACAACUGGGAGACCACUUGACUGUGAACUUUGACGUGGUGGUCAUCUUCUUCUGGCCUUUUACCGAGGAGUCAUGAAAGUGCUCAUUCCUCGACUGAUUUGUGUCAUUGGGCCUGGAGACUUAAUAAACAGCUAAAAGACCUGUGGUGCUUGUGGUACCUUUGAUUGUUCAGAGAGCGUAUUUUGGAUAGACAGUAUGGCGCCCGGUCGCUUCUGUGUACAUUACGGACAGACGUGAAGCUCUCAGCUGCGAGGGGAGACUUGUGCUGGAUCUGAAUUCUCAGAGUUGCUCUGCUGAAGAAUCCCAUUGUCUGGCUUCCCGUGAGUAGAGAGUGGUUCCCAGGACUUGGCUUGUCUAAAUAUGCCAUGACAGAGUGGACUCCCUCCUGCAAUAGCCUCUCUGACUCACUUAUCUCUGGCAGACGAACUCUCAACACAAACCAGUGCCGUCUCUCUGUCACACAGCCUAAUCUGUAAUGUCAUGGUUCACUGAAACACUCCCCUCUCUCCAAAAACUGGCACGACCUCCUUCAGCACUCUGAUAAUCCAGUAUGAUUUACACACUACCGUUUGAGGUCGAUAAGAUUUUUAUUUUAUAUAAGUCUCUUUUGCUGAACA